CCCUCUUGAACCUUCUUCUUCACAUUCAUCAGCUCCGGGUGUGUAGCUUGAGCGCCUUAACUUUAUCAAUUAAAGUCGAUUCUACACGUAUAUUCGUUAUCUUCACGUGGGUUCAUAUAUUCGCACUUGUAACCGCAUACGAUCUUCUACUCAACGCGUUAGCUACCAUGUUCUCUUUUCCUACGAUGGUAUUGAAUGGUACGAUCAUAAUCUUCAACAGCUCGAGUAAACGUCUUUGGCGCAUCUUACGUUCAUUUUUGUUGAAGAAAUAUUUGAGGGUUUAAGAAAUGGGUUUUGUAUUGGGGUCAAUACAAAAUUCGAUUUCACGCUCUAGGGGUAGGCUAAGAAGUCCUUCAGGAAUACGUCAGGAAAUUUAUUAACAAUAGAAAUAUCAUUCAAAAUUGUGACUCUCAUCCAAGACUUGGA
rnacentral:lncRNA from 1 species